GAUGAAGAACGUAGCGAAAUGCGAUACGUAAUGUGAAUUGCAGAAUUCAGUGAAUCAUCGAAUCUUUGAACGCAUAUUGCGCUCUUUGGUAUUCCGAAGAGCAUGCUUGUUUGAGUAUCAGUAAACACCUCAAAGACUUCAAUUUGUUUUGAAUGGCUUUGGACUUGAGCAAUCCCAACACCAGUCUUUACGAUCGGUGGAGGGUUGCUUGAAAUGCAGGUGCAGCUGGACAUUCUCCUGAGCUAAAAGCAUAUUUAUUUAGUCCCGUCAAACGGAUUAUUACUUUUGCUGCAGCUAACAUAAAGGGAGUUUGACCGUAUUGGCUGACUGAUGCAGGAUUUCACAAGGGUCGGCAACGAUUCUUGUAAAACUCGAUCUCAAAUCAAGUAAGACUACCCGCUGAACUUAAGCAUAUCAUAAGCGGAGGA
rnacentral:misc_RNA from 1 species